rnacentral:rRNA from 1 species
UACGAAGGGGGGCUAGCGUUGUUCGGAAUUACUGGGCGUAAAGGGCGCGCAGGCGGCCAUUCAAGUCAGGCGUGAAAGCCCCGGGCUUAACCUGGGAGGUGCGUCUGGGACUGGGUGGCUAGAGAUCGGGAGAGGAGAGUGGAAUUUCCGGUGUAGCGGUGAAAUGCGUAGAUAUCGGAAGGAACACCUGUGGCGAAAGCGGCUCACUGGACCAUUACUGACGCUGAUGCACGAAAGCUAGGGGAGCAAACAGG